UGGGGGAUAUUGCACAAUGGAGGAAACUCUGAUGCAGCGACGCCGCGUGAGUGAAGAAGUAUUUCGGUAUGUAAAGCUCUAUCAGCAGGGAAGAAAAUGACGGUACCUGACUAAGAAGCCCCGGCUAACUACGUGCCAGCAGCCGCGGUAAUACGUAGGGGGCAAGCGUUAUCCGGAUUUACUGGGUGUAAAGGGAGCGUAGACGGCGAUGCAAGUCUGAAGUGAAAUACCCGGGCUCAACCUGGGAACUGCAUUGGAAACUGUCGUACUAGAGUGUCGGAGGGGUAAGCGGAAUUCCUAGUGUAGCGGUGAAAUGCGUAGAUAUUAGGAGGAACACCAGUGGCGAAGGCGGCUUACUGGACGAUAACUGACGCUGAGGCUCGAAAGCGUGGGGAGCAAACAGGGAUUAGAUACCCUGGGUAGU
rnacentral:rRNA from 1 species